rnacentral:rRNA from 1 species
GCAGUCUGCAACUCGACUGCAUGAAGCCGGAAUCGCUAGUAAUCGCGGAUCAGAAUGCCGCGGUGAAUACGUUCCCGGGUCUUGUACACACCGCCCGUCACACCAUGGGAGUCGGAAAUGCCCGAAGCCGGUGGCCUAACCGAUAAGGGAGGAGCCGUCGAAGGCAGGUCUGAUGACUGGGGUGAAGUCGUAACAAGGUAAC